CCUACGGGAGGCAGCAGUGAGGAAUAUUGGUCAAUGGGCGCAAGCCUGAACCAGCCAAGUCGCGUGAGGGAUGACGGUCCUAUGGAUUGUAAACCUCUUUUGUCGGGGAGCAAGGCCCGCCACGUGUGGCGGGAAGGAGAGGACCCGAAGAAAAAGCAGCGGCUAACUCCGGGCCAGCAGCCGCGGUAAUACGGAGGAUGCGAGCGUUAUCCGGAUUGAUUGGGUUGAAAGGGUGCGUAGGCGGAAGGUUAAGUCAGCGGUCAAAUGUCGGGGCUCAACACCGGCCUGCCGUUGCAACGGGUCUUCUUGAGUGAGCGAGAAGUCUGCGGCAUGCGUGGUCUAGCGGUGAAAUGCCUAGAUCUCACGCAGAACUCCGCUUGCGAAGGCAGCAUACCGGCGCUCAACUGCCGCUGAGGCACGACAGCGUGGGGAUCGAACCGGAUUAGAUACCCUAGUAGUC
rnacentral:rRNA from 1 species